rnacentral:tRNA from 1 species
GCGGGCGUAGCUUAGACGGAUAAAGCACCAGGUUGCGAACCUGGAGAGCGUUGGUUCGAGUCCAACCGCACGCG